rfam:Cathartes aura contig48092, whole genome shotgun sequence.
ACAAAGGCUCUUUUCAGAGCCACCCAAGCUUUCCGGAGAAGGGCGU